CGCGGGGUGGAGCAGCCUGGUAGCUCGUCGGGCUCAUAACCCGGAGGUCGCAGGUUCGAAUCCUGCCCCCGCUA
rnacentral:tRNA from 1 species